UACGUAGGGACCGAGCGUUGUCCGGAUUCAUUGGGCGUAAAGAGCUCGUAGGCGGCUGUUCAAGUCGAACGUGAAAACUCGGAGCUCAACUCCGAGCCUGCGUUCGAUACUGGACGGCUAGAGUCUGGUAGGGGGAUCUGGAAUUCCUGGUGUAGCGGUGGAAUGCGCAGAUAUCAGGAGGAACACCGAUGGCGAAGGCAGGUCUCUGGGCCAUUACUGACACUGAGAAGCGAAAGCAUGGGGAGCGAACAGG
rnacentral:rRNA from 1 species